AUUGAACGCUGGCAGCAGGCCUAACACAUGCAAGUCGAACGAGUGGCGGACGGGUGAGUAAUGUCUGGGCAACUUCCUGAUGGGGGGGGAUCACUACUGGAAACGGUCUCUAAUUCCGCAUACCCUCAUCUUUGCCCAUAUGGGAUUGGCGAGUUGGUGGGGUAACGGCUCACAAAGGCGACGAUCCCUAGCUGGUCUGAGAGGAUGACCAGCCACACGGGAACUGAGAAACGGCCCAGACUCCUACGGGAGGCAGCAGUGGGGAAUAUUGGACAAUGGGCGCAAGCCUGAUGCAGCCAGGCGGCGUGUAUGAAGAAGGCCUUAGGGUUGUAAAGUACUUUCAGCGGGGAGGCGUUACCCGAAGAAGAAGCACCGGCUAACUCCGUGCCAGCAGCCGCGGUAAUAC
rnacentral:rRNA from 1 species